AAAAAUGAACAAUGAAUACAAUUAUGAAUAUUGUAUGUAAAAUAAAUGAACAAUCGCUGGCUAUUUGAGGGCAUCCAAAAUUGUGAUAAAUGAAAUUAGAAUGCGACACUGACCAGGGAGAGAGAGAGAGUGACAAAGAGAGCAACACAACACAACAAGCGCAAAGCACACAGACAGAAAAACACAGAAAGAGAGAGAGAGAGAGAGUGAAAGCAACAAGUGCGGCCAGCCAGCUGUCAACGAUGUUUGGCGCGUCUUCGACGCGACUAAAAACGCGCGCUUACCGUUUUUAUUUUGUGGCAAGACUGCUUCGGAUCGGUGUUCUUCAACGCCUGCGUCGAGGCACUGCAGCUGCACGAGGAGAUGG
rnacentral:misc_RNA from 1 species